rnacentral:rRNA from 1 species
UGUUUUUGGUUUUACGACGGCAGUUGAUCUGAACUCAGGAUCACUCGUGUUACACUGCAAUCGCGUGUCGCCCUUGGAGGUAGUGACAAUAAAUCACAAUGCGGAACUUCUGUCUUGCAAUUGGAGUGAGAACAACGCACAACACUUAUCGAUAAACAAUUGGAGGGCAAGUCUGGUGCCAGCAGCCGCGGUAAUUCCAGCUCCAAUAGCGUAUAUUAACGUUGUUGCAGUUAAAAAGCUCGUAGUUGAAGUGAAGUAUGAAACCUUAACGUUUUCAUUUGAAUUCGUUUUGGUUUGAUACUCUUUCCAAUUUGUGUGCAUGGGUAUUCAUUUAUCUGUGUAGGCAUUUGGUCAUUUACUGUGAGAAAAUUAGAGUGUUCAAAGCAUACGUUUGUUUGAAUACAUUAGCAUGGAAUAAUUCGAAAAGGCUUUCAUGUUCGAUUUGAUUGGUUUGUUCGUGAAGGCAAGAUUAAAAGGGACAGUUGGGGGUAUUCAUAUUCAAUAGUCAGAGGCGAAAUUCUCGGAUUUAUGGAAGAUGAACUAGUGCGAAAGCAUUUACCAAGGAUGUUUUCAUUAAUCAAGAACGAAAGUUAGGGGAUCGAAGAGGCUUAGAUACCCUCGUAGUCUUAACUAUAAACGAUACCGACUAGGGGUUAGUGGAGGUCAUUUGUCUCUACUAGUACCUUAUGAGAAAUCAAAGUCUUUGGGUUCCGGGGGGAGUAUGGUCGCAAGGCUGAAACUUAAAGGAAUUGACGGAAGGGCACCACCAGGAGUGGAGCCUGCGGCUUAAUUUGACUCAACACGGGGAAACUUACCAGGUCCAGACAUAGGAAGGAUAGACAGAACAAAGCUCUUUCUUGAUUCUAUGGGUGGUGGUGCAUGGCCGUUCUUAGUUGGUGGAUUGAUUUGUCAGGCUAAUUCCGAUAACGAACGAGACCUCCGCCUACUAAAUAGAAAAUUAUAAUUCGUUAUAGUUUUCUUCUUAGAGGGACACUAUACAAGAAGUGUAGGGAAGCUGGAGGCAAUAACAGGUCUGUGAUGCCCUUAGAUGUCCUGGGCUGCACGCGCGCGACACUGAUUGAUUCAACAAGUGGCUGAUUUGAAAGAAUUGGCAACUCUUUUGAAAGUCAAUCGUGAUGGGGAUUGAUGUUUGGAAUUAUCAUCAUGAACGAGGAAUUCCUAGUAAGGGCGACACGCGAUUGCAGUCUUGAGUCCACCUGAAGGAGUCAAACGGGUUAAAA